rnacentral:lncRNA from 1 species
CUUCUUCAAUUCCACAAACUUGAGUGGUGCCACUCUAUAGGGAGUCUUAGAUAUUGGAAGUUGUCCUCGGGGACGAAAUCAUUAGCAAAUUCACUAACUCCAUUUGGAGUUAAUUCGAACAAGUCAUCCAAGAAUACAAUAGGGAACUCUAUUAACACAAUAGUUUCAUUUAAAUUAGUUUCUUGAUCUAAAUACUCCAUUACAAAUGAAAGAUAGCAACAAAAGCCCUUUUGUAUAAGUCGAAGAGCGUGAAGUAGCGAUAUAAGGCAAGGAGGUGAAUCAUACCUAAUACCAUUAAAAUAAAAAGGAAGCCUAAUGCCCGGAAUCAAGCCUAAUGCCCUAAUACCGUUAAGAUGGAUAGAUCACGUUUGUUGUCAAAGAAUCUCCAACAAUCGUAGUUGCAUAUAGCAUAUAAUUCAUUAGUCUAAGUUGAGCACCUAAGUGAUAAGAAAAAUAUUAUAAACCAAAUAUAGAUUGUAACCAGGGUCAAAUAAAUAUAGAUUGUAAUCUAUCCCAAAAUCUCAAUAGGAUAUCCUCGAAAACUCAAAAAUCUGAUUUCAAUCAAUUUUCUACUUCAUUGGUAAAGUAGACUAAACGUGGAUCUUGUAAUUGUCAUUCUUUAAUUUAUCGAAUGAGAUCAGAUAGAACCUGGAUAGAGGCUAUCAAAAUCAUCGAGUCUCGCACUAUCCUCAAAAUGUGCAGGUCAUAAUUUUUUUCCAAUGACCUCCGUUGCUUCACCAUUAGAUUAAUUUAUCGAAUGAGAUCAGAUAGAACCUUUGUCCUCUAAACUUUUCCAAACCUCAAUAGGGAUACCAUCAGGCCCUACACUCUAAGCUAUUCUUAUUUUCUUUAAUGUGUCUUAUACUUCAUUAACUCUAAUUUUAUAAAUAAAUAUAUGAUUAUUAAAUCUACAACUAUUAUUUAUUGUUAAAUCUAAAUCCUGUGUGGAAUAUUAUUUAAAUAAUUUAUAAAAAUAAAUUUUUUUUAUCUCUCCUCAUUCUCGUUAACAUUAACAAGUAUUCUUUGAUCUUCAUUUUUAAUGUGUCUAAUUUUAUCUAAAUCCUUAUACUUUCUUUCCCUAGCUUUAGCAAUUCAACAUAUAUUUUUUUCACUAUCUUUAGUACCUAAUUUAUUAUAAAAAUUUUCAUAAGCUUUAUAUCUUACUAUACUAAUUGCUUGUUUAGCCUCUUUUUUAUAUUCUUUAUAAGUUUUGAAAAUUUUCUUAUUUUUAUAGUUUUGCCAAUCUUUAAACAUUAUCUUUUAGUAAAAAAUAUUUUUUGAACAUCCUCGUUUCACCAACUCUCUUUUAAGGUUACACUGCUAUAUUUAGUUUUACCAAGAAUCUUCUUUGUUAAUCUCCUAAUCUUAUUAGUCAUUAUAGUCAAAAUAAUAUUAAUAUUAUCCUUAUCUAGGUUCUAAGUCAUCUCCUUUCCAUUUUAUUUUUAAAAAUAUUUACAUUAUCAUCUUUAAAAUGCUAUCAUCUAAUCCUAGUAAUUUUUUCUAUUAUAUUUUUCUUGUUUCAUUUUUUGUAGUAAAUUUCCUAAGCUACGAGUUCCUAAUUAAUGACACUCCAACGCUUCGAAUUCCAAGGAUAAGGAGAAAGUUCCAAACUGCCAGCUCUGAUGAAGGACGACCAAGAACGAGCAAGAACC